AUGGCUUCUUCCGGUUCCGUGACGAGGCCACCAUGUGCUAACCGCGAGGACAUGCCGGACAAAUGGACAGACGCCGAGUUGGAUAUGGUGAAGGACAAAGAUAUGAGAACUCCAUGAUGUUGGUGUGGAGAUGUUUGCAAAGUUAAGGUAUCCACCGACCGCAAGAAAUCAUGGAAGGAAGGAAGAAGAUAUUUCAUUUGUCCCAACUAUGCCUAUGAUCGUCCUCGUCCAGCUCACGCCUAUGAUGUACCGCCGGUAAGUUGUUCAAGUUCAAAGGGUAUUCAACCAUUGGUACAACUUGACCCUAUCUUACUAAUGACCACACUUGUUCUUUAUUCGUACGUAGUCGCCGCCUCCACUUUGUAA
rnacentral:rRNA from 1 species